UACGAGGGAGGCUAGCGUUGUUCGGAAUUACUGGGCGUAAAGCGCACGUAGGCGGCUUUUUAAGUCAGGGGUGAAAUCCCGGGGCUCAACCCCGGAACUGCCCUUGAAACUGGAAGGCUAGAAUCUUGGAGAGGCGAGUGGAAUUCCGAGUGUAGAGGUGAAAUUCGUAGAUAUUCGGAAGAACACCAGUGGCGAAGGCGACUCGCUGGACAAGUAUUGACGCUGAGGUGCGAAAGCGUGGGGAGCAAACAGG
rnacentral:rRNA from 1 species